AGGAGUGGAGCCUGCGGCUUAAUUUGACUCAACACGGGAAAGCUUACCAGGCCCGGACACCGGAAGGAUUGACAGAUUGAGAGCUCUUUCUUGAUUCGGUGGGUGGUGGUGCAUGGCCGUUCUUAGUUGGUGGUGUGAAUUGUCUGGUUAAUUCCGUUAACGAACGAGACUCUAGUCUGCUAAAUAGGCGUUAUUCCGGUAUCCUGAAGGCUCGUGUCUCUCGUUUUCUGUCGUGCUCUUGUUGUGGUGUAUCAUCGCUCAGGCGGUGUGCAUUGCACGGGGGUGCGUUUCAGUGCGAGAGUUCACGGUUUUUACUACCGGCGUACAUAUAAAUCUUCUUAGAGGGACAGGCGGCUUCUAGCCGCACGAGAUUGAGCAAUAACAGGUCUGUAAUGCCCUUAGAUGUUCUGGGCCG
rnacentral:rRNA from 1 species